rnacentral:lncRNA from 1 species
AUCCUUCCUUGUCUGUAUCGACCAUCGCAAGUUCGUGUUUGCGUACUUUAGGUUCGGUAGGACAGCACAUGCUACGUAAGGACUCUAAGAAAGUAACAUCUGACCGAUCGGAAUGUUGGUUUGCAACCUUGGGUCUAGAAAGUAAUGAUCUCCACGCUUGCUUCAGAGUAGUACGUAUGACACGACUGAAAUUGAUCAAACCAAUGAGGUGUUUGAUGGGUCGGGUUGAUAUAUCAUAAAUCAUGCUGUAACGAACAACGACGAACGGCAUUCUAUACAGAUACGAGCAAUGGUCUUCUACGGAGUAUGUAUCAUUGUGUACAUUGUAUGCCAACGUGGUUAGUUACUUAGGUUGCUAGAGUAGAUACCGGCUCAGAGUCAAAGCCCUAUGUAGGGCUUUGGCAGCAAAUCUCAUAGAGUUCAACUUCAGCGUGCACGGGGCCAAAACCAAAAGAA